GAUCCUUUCGGGGAGGCGUCGAGCGGCGAACGGGUGAGUAACGCGUAGGAAUCUGCCUGAUAGUGGGGGAUAGCCCGGGGAAACCCGGAUUAAUACCGCAUACGCCCUACGGGGGAAAGGCCGGGAUCUUCGGACCGGUCGCUAUUGGAUGAGCCUGCGUUGGAUUAGCUAGUUGGUAGGGUAAAGGCCUACCAAGCCGACGAUCAGUAGCUGGUCUGAGAGGACGAUCAGCCACACUGGAACUGAGACACGGUCCAGACUCC
rnacentral:rRNA from 1 species